rnacentral:rRNA from 1 species
CCUACGGGAGGCAGCAGUGAGGAAUAUUGGUCAAUGGGCGCGAGCCUGAACCAGCCAAGUCGCGUGAGGGAAGACGGUCCUAUGGAUUGUAAACCUCUUUUGUCGGGGAGCAAAAGACGCCACGCGUGGCGCUCCGAGUGUACCCGACGAAAUAGCAUCGGCUAACUCCGUCCCAGCAGACGCGGUAAUACGGAGGAUGCGAGCGUUAUACGGAUUUAUUGGGUUAAAAGGGUGCGCAGGCGGAAGAUAAAGUCAGCUGUAAAAGUGAGAGGCUCAACCUCGUCGAGCCGUUGAAACUGGUUUUCUUGAGUGAGUGAGAAGUAUGCGGAAUGCGUGGUGUAGCGGUGAAAUGCAUAGAUAUCACGAAGAACUCCGAUUGCGAAGGCAGCAUACCGGCGCUCAACUGACGCUCAUGCACGAAAGUGUGGGUAUCGAACAGGAUUAGAUACCCCUGUAGUC